rnacentral:rRNA from 1 species
GGCGCACGGGUGCGUAACGCGUGGGAAUCUGCCCUUGGGUUCGGAAUAACAUCGGGAAACUGAUGCUAAUACCGGAUGAUGACGUAAGUCCAAAGAUUUAUCGCCCAGGGAUGAGCCCGCGUAGGAUUAGCUAGUUGGUGAGGUAAAGGCUCACCAAGGCGACGAUCCUUAGCUGGUCUGAGAGGAUGAUCAGCCACACUGGGACUGAGACACGGCCCAGACUCCUACGGGAGGCAGCAGUAGGGAAUAUUGGACAAUGGGCGAAAGCCUGAUCCAGCAAUGCCGCGUGAGUGAUGAAGGCCUUAGGGUUGUAAAGCUCUUUUACCCGGGAUGAUAAUGACAGUACCGGGAGAAUAAGCCCCGGCUAACUCCGUGCCAGCAGCCGCGGUAAUACGGAGGGGGCUAGCGUUGUUCGGAAUUACUGGGCGUAAAGCGCACGUAGGCGGCGAUUUAAGUCAGAGGUGAAAGCCCGGGGCUCAACCCCGGAACUGCCUUUGAGACUGCAUUGCUUGAACAUCGGAGAGGUGAGUGGAAUUCCAAGUGUACAGGUGAAAUUCGUACAGAUUCCGAAGAGCACCAAUGGCGAAUGCUGCUCACUGGACGAUUGUCGCCGCUGAUGUGCGACAGCUUGCUGAGCAUACAGGCUUAGAUACCCUGGAAGUCCACGCCGUAAACGAUGAUAACUAGCUGCUGGGGUGCAUGGCAUUUCAGUGGCGCAGC